rnacentral:lncRNA from 1 species
UUAUCAUUCUGUUUGUUAGGAGUGCAAAUUAAACAUGACUUAUGCAUUAAACCAUUAAGCUAAAGACAUUCAUCGGGAGCCCAAAUCCUAGAGGUUUAGGGACCACAAUCUUGCAACUCCAGUUGUCAUCCAUAGUUGAUUUGCAUGUUGUAAGUUAGACAUUGUUAAACAUAAAGUGUGCUGGACAUUGUCAAACAUAAAGUAUAACGAUGACCCUCUUCCCUGGCACUGUUAAGAGAAGAGACUGUGUUUCUGAUCCACAUUUUUAUUUUGGUUGACAG